rnacentral:rRNA from 1 species
UACGGAGGGUGCAAGCGUUAUCCGGAUUUACUGGGUUUAAAGGGUGCGUAGGUGGGCAGGUAAGUCAGUGGUGAAAUCUUCAAGCUUAACUUGGAAACUGCCAUUGAUACUAUUUGUCUUGAAUAUCCUGGAGGUAAGCGGAAUAUGUCAAUGUAGCGGUGAAAUGCUUAGAUAUGACAUAGAACACCCAUUGCGAAGGCAGCUUACUAGCUGUAACUGACGCUGAGGCACGAAAGCGUGGGGAUCAAACAGG